GUGAUGAAUAUUGGUGGACCCUUUUUAGGUGUGCCAAAAGCAGUCUCAGGAUUUUUCUCCAAUGAAGCCAGGGAUAUUGCUGCAGCCAGGGCUUACGCUCCGGGUUUUUUGGAUAAGGAUGUUUUUGGUCUUCAAACUCUGCAACAUUUAAUGCGGAUGGCUCGCACAUGGGAUUCAACCAUGUCUAUGAUACCAAAAGGUGGGGNUUGAUUGGUCUCCUGAAGGAAUCUACAAUUGUGGCGCAAAGAAGCCAAAAAACAAUAGUAC
rnacentral:misc_RNA from 1 species